rnacentral:ncRNA from 2 species
CCCAAAACGCAGGGGAGCCGCGCUGGCUGAGAGUUCCGGAUUUACCGGGAGACCCUUGGAACCUGAUCCGGGUAAGUCCGGCGAAGGGAGCGACCGGCGGCUCUGC